AGAGUUUGAUCAUGGCUCAGGAUGACGCUAGCGGCAGGCUUAAUACAUGCAAGUCGAGGGGCAGCAGGGGUGUAGCAAUACACUCGCUGGCGACCGGCAAACGGGUGCGGAACACGUACGCAACUUACCCAUACUGGGGGAUAGCCCGGGGAAACCCGGAUUAAUACCUCGUAACAUCACCAGGUGGCAUCACUUGAUGAUUAUAGCUCCGGCGGUUAUGGAUGGGCGUGCGGCUGAUUAGGUAGUUGGCGGGGUAACGGCCCACCAAGCCUACGAUCAGUAACUGGUGUGAGAGCACGACCAGUCACACGGGCACUGAGACACGGGCCCGACUCCUACCGGAGGCAGCAGUAAGGAAUAUUGGUCAAUGGACGCAAGUCUGAACCAGCCAUGCCGCGUGAAGGAUGAAGGUCCUCUGGAUUGUAAACUUCUUUUAUAUGGGACGAAACCUGGGUAUUCCUACCCAAUUGACGG
rnacentral:rRNA from 1 species